rnacentral:rRNA from 1 species
UAGGGAAUCUUCCACAGUGGACGCAAGUCUGAUGGAGCAACGCCGCGUGAGUGAAGAAGGUUUUCGGAUCGUAAAGCUCUGUUGUUGGUGAAGAAGGAUAGAGGCAGUAACUGGUCUUUAUUUGACGGUAAUCAACCAGAAAGUCACGGCUAACUACGUGCCAG